GACGAACGCUGGCGGCGUGCUUAACACAUGCAAGUCGAACGGAAAGGCCCUGCUUUUGUGGGGUGCUCGAGUGGCGAACGGGUGAGUAACACGUGAGUAACCUGCCCUUGACUUUGGGAUAACUUCAGGAAACUGGGGCUAAUACCGGAUAGGAGCUCCUGCUGCAUGGUGGGGGUUGGAAAGUUUCGGCGGUUGGGGAUGGACUCGCGGCUUAUCAGCUUGUUGGUGGGGUAGUGGCUUACCAAGGCUUUGACGGGUAGCCGGCCUGAGAGGGUGACCGGCCACAUUGGGACUGAGAUACGGCCCAGACUCCUACGGGAGGCAGCAGUGGGGAAUAUUGCACAAUGGGCGGGAGCCUGAUGCAGCAACGCCGCGUGCGGGAUGACGGCCUUCGGGUUGUAAACCGCUUUCGCCUGUGGCGAAGCGUGAGUGACGGUAAUGGGUAAAGAAGCACCGGCUAACUACGUG
rnacentral:rRNA from 1 species